UUCCACAGAUACUGGUCUGGAAUUGCUUGCUUGGUAGUAGUUUCAGUAUUCCUUCUGUGGAAUAAUAAUUGUUGCACUCAGUUAUCAGCUCUUUAUAAAUCACUAUCAAAGUGCUUUAUGGUGUGACACACAUUU
rnacentral:snoRNA from 13 species